AAGUCGUAACAAGGUAACCGUAGGUGAACCUGCGGUUGGAUCAUUAUAAAAUAAUGACGACAUACCUGCUGGUCUUUCGACUGGUGGGGAGUCACUAACCUCUGUGCACUGUAAUAGUAUCGGGUCUAGGUAACGCAGUCUUUCGGGAUAGCCACGCCUAGGCCCAACAACGGUCUCGGCCGUAUAAACAACUUUUAAUUUUGACUGACUUUUGUUUCUAACGAAUCAAAAACAACUUUUAACAACGGAUCUCUUGGCUCACGCAACGAUGAAGAACGCAGCGAAAUGCGAUACGUAAUGUGAAUUGCAGAAUUCCGUGAAUCAUCGAAUCUUUGAACGCACAUUGCACUCUGUUUCGGCAGAGUAUGCCUGUUUGAGAAUCUAUAGUAUUCAUUCUCCAACUUGGGUAUUUAUGCCUAGGAAGGAGAGAUUUGAGGCGUCGCACUAACCCUGCGUGCUUUUAAAACUAUAGCUGCUGGAUACUGUCAAGUAACGGAAAAGUAUGUGUAUGGGACUUUGGUCUCUCUAAUACCUAGUACGGGUGACGGUGCUCGUCCGGCACUCACCUAUUAAAGUUGGCCUUUGGGCGAACUUGAACCAUGGUCUCAAAUCAGGCAGGAAGACCCGCUGAACUUAA
rnacentral:rRNA from 1 species